AUGCCCCCGGGCUGUCCUAUCAUCCCGGUGCUCGAGAGGUCCGGUGGCGCGUCUCUCGGUGGCCUCCUGCCGGCCGACGGAUCCAGGGCGGCUGCUCCCCUCGUCGCGCCUUCCCAUGACUCCGGCGCGAUGUCCCGCCCCUCCUUACUUUUAUUCCCUCCUCUGACCUCCAUGGGGACCAGCGCCGCCCAAGUUUCCCCGCCCCCGGGUUCCGGUGAGGGCUGCGGCGAUCCACGGCUGCUGGGCUUCUUUUCCUACGGGGCUGGGAUUUGGGAGAUGCACCUGCUGCCCUCAGACAUCAGACGGGAGAUGAUGAACCGGGCAAUGCACGCCGCUGCGAGGGGCGGAGACUUGAGAUCCCCAGGGAGCUCCUGCAGGGUUGCUCCAUUCCCGCUGCGUACCAGGACGCAACCAUCUUGCAUUUUGCGGCUUCAAGGGGCCAAGUUGAGGGUCAUAGGGUUGACCUAG
rnacentral:rRNA from 1 species